rnacentral:rRNA from 1 species
AGUGAACGCUGGCGGUAGGCCUAACACAUGCAAGUCGAACGGCAGCACAGGAGAGCUUGCUCUCUGGGUGGCGAGUGGCGGACGGGUGAGGAAUACAUCGGAAUCUACUUUUUCGUGGGGGAUAACGUAGGGAAACUUACGCUAAUACCGCAUACGACCUACGGGUGAAAGCAGGGGAUCUUCGGACCUUGCGCGAUUGAAUGAGCCGAUGUCGGAUUAGCUAGUUGGCGGGGUAAAGGCCCACCAAGGCGACGAUCCGUAGCUGGUCUGAGAGGAUGUGCAGCCACACUGGAACUGAGACACGGUCCAGACUCCUACGGGAGGCAGCAGUGGGGAAUAGUGGACAAUGGGCGCAAGCCUGAUCCAGCCAUACCGCGUGGGUGAAGAAGGCCUUCGGGUUGUAAAGCCCUUUUGUUGGGAAAGAAAUCCAGCUGGUAAAUACCCGGUUGGGAUGACGGUACCCAAAGAAUAAGCACCGGCUAACUUCGUGCCAGCAGCCGCCGUAA